rnacentral:rRNA from 1 species
GAUGAACGCUGGCGGCGUGCCUAAUACAUGCGAGUCGAGCGAACAGACGAGGAGCUUGCUCCCCUGACGUUAGCGGCGGACGGGUGAGUAACACGUGGAUAACCUACCUAUAAUACUGGGAUAACUUCGUGAAACCGGAGCUAAUACCGGAUAAUAUAUUGAACCGCAUGGUUCAAUAGUGAAAGACGGUUUUGCUGUCACUUAUAGAUGGAUCCGCGCCGCAUUAGCUAGUUGGUAAGGUAACGGCUUACCAAGGCAACGAUGCGUAGCCGACCUGAGAGGGUGAUCGGCCACACUGGAACUGAGACACGGUCCAGACUCCUACGGGAGGCAGCAGUAGGGAAUUUUCCGCAAUGGGCGAAAGCUUGACGGAGCAACGCCGCGUGAGUGAUGAAGGUCUUCGGAUCGUAAAACUCUGUUAUUAGGGAAGAACAAAUGUGUAAGUAACUAUGCACGUCUUGACGGUACCUAAUCAGAAAGCCACGGCUAACUACGUG